CAGCAGCCGCGGGAAUACGAAGGGUGCAAGCGUUACUCGGAAUUACUGGGCGUAAAGCGUGCGUAGGUGGUGGUUUAAGUCCGUUGUGAAAGCCCUGGGCUCAACCUGGGAAUUGCAGUGGAUACUGGGUCACUAGAGUGUGGUAGAGGAUAGUGGAAUUUCUGGUGUAGCAGUGAAAUGCGUAGAGAUCGGAAGGAACAUCUGUGGCGAAGGCGACUAUCUGGGCCAACACUGACACUGAGGCACGAAAGCGUGGGGAGCAAACAGGAUUAGAUACCCCGGUAGUCCCUGUCUCUUAUAC
rnacentral:rRNA from 1 species